rnacentral:lncRNA from 1 species
ACCCGCCUGGCCCAACAGUGACAGAGCAGGGCGCGCAGCCGCUGAGUGCUCUGGAGUCCCUGCCCCGAGGUGCCACGCCCACGUCGGCCUCACCCGGGCAGGCAUGGGGCGGUCGGGCUUAGCGCCGCACCCCGCCGGCCAGAGCCACCGUCUCUCCAGACGCGGCCCCAGCGCCCACUGGGGAUGGCAAAGACGACAUCCGGUGCGCCGAGGCUGCUCACAAAAUGUACAAAACGCAGCGCCUGCAGGUGUGCUCAGAAGAGGAACUCCGCAGAGUGGAGGUAAGUCUCCGACAUGGGAGAGAGGGAGAGGAUCCCCUCUAGAAACCUGGCCUGGGCUCACAUGAUCCUGUCCUGGUAUGUCCCAGUGUCCAGCAGGAACUUCUUGGGUCCAAGACAAAUCUCCAGCUUCUGGCUCCCUGCUGGGCACUCGGUAGGUGCCUGAUAAAUAUUUGCAGGAUUCUGUAAGAAUCAGAAUUCCAGUUGUGCUAUCUGAGGAGUCCGACAGAAAAGCAGAAGAGGUUAUACCAGUGGAGGGAAGGUGGUCUUGGGGUCUGAACAGUUCGUCCACUGCUGCUCAGGUAGGUGGUUUCACCCAGGGUCAGUUUUGUCUUCUGGAGAUAGGCCA